rnacentral:rRNA from 1 species
UACGUAGGGGGCAAGCGUUGUCCGGAUUUACUGGGCGUAAAGCGCACGUAGGCGGAUCGAUCAGUCAGGGGUGAAAUCCCAGGGCUCAACCCUGGAACUGCCUUUGAUACUGUCGAUCUGGAGUAUGGAAGAGGUGAGUGGAAUUCCGAGUGUAGAGGUGAAAUUCGUAGAUAUUCGGAGGAACACCAGUGGCGAAGGCGGCUCACUGGUCCAUUACUGACGCUGAGGUGCGAAAGCGUGGGGAGCAAACAGG